CAAGAGCGUAUGUAAAAGUUGUUGCAGUUAAAAAGCUCGUAGUUGAACCUUGGGUUUGGUUGGCCGGUCCGCUUUUUUGCGAGUACUGGAUUCAACCGAGCCUUUCCUUCUGGCUAACCAGUCGUUUCGGCGGCUGGCGAACCAGGAUUUUUACUUUGAGAGAAUUAGAGUGUUCAAAGCAGGCAUUAGCUUGAAUAUAUUAGCAUGGAAUAAUAGAAUAGGACGUUAUGGUUCUAUUUUGUUGGUUUCUAGGACCAUCGUAAUGAUUAAUAGGGACGGUCGGGGGCAUCAGUAUUCAGUUGUCAGAGGUGAAAUUCUUGGAUUUACUGAAGACUAACUACUGCGAAAGCAUUUGCCAAGGACGUUUUCAUUAA
rnacentral:rRNA from 1 species